GAUGAACGCUAGCGGCAGGCUUAAUACAUGCAAGUCGUGGAGCAGCAGGUCUGUAGCAAUACAGAUGCUGGCGACCGGCAAACGGGUGCGGAACACGUACACAACCUUCCUUUAAGUGGGGAAUAGCCCAGAGAAAUUUGGAUUAAUACCCCGUAACAUAAUGAAGUGGCAUCACUUUAUUAUUAUAGCUCCGGCGCUUAAAGAUGGGUGUGCGGCUGAUUAGAUAGUUGGCGGGGUAACGGCCCACCAAGUCGACGAUCAGUAACUGGUGGGAGAGCACGACCAGUCACACGGGCACUGAGACACGGGCCCGAAUCCUUCGGGAGGCAGCAGUAAGGAAUAUUGGUCAAUGGACGCAAGUCUGAACCAGCCAUGCCGCGUGGAGGAUGAAGGUCCUCUGGAUUGUAAACUUCUUUUAUGUGGGAAGAAAUCUAUCUUUUCUUGGAUAGUUGACGGUACCAGAUGAAUAAGCACCGGCUAACUCCGUGCCAGCCGCCGCGGUAAAAC
rnacentral:rRNA from 1 species